CUGGGUGGGCACUAACAAUCAACUGCAGACGGGAGUUAGAGAGGUCGAGAAGGAAGAGCCCAUAGGGUGAAAGCGUUGCUAAGAGUCGACGAUAAAAAAGAGCUUAGUAGCCCACCAAGAGUUCAAGAGAAAGAACUCAAGGAGCCAGAGAGAAUCUCACUCAGGACCCCUAUGGAACUCGAACUUAAAGAAA
rnacentral:sRNA from 10 species